rnacentral:lncRNA from 1 species
AUGUCAAACCUGCCGCUGUUCAUCGCAGGCCUUUCCAGUGCAGCACCAAGCGACACGGCACCCUCUGGUACCACUGAGACAAAAAAUGGUUCCACCAUCAGUGCCAACAGCAGCACGGAUACAAGAACCACCACUGGUAGCAGUCACAGCAGCACAGAAACCAGCACCACCAGCGCCACCAUCACCACAGAUGCCAGUCACAUCAGCACAGGCACCAGAACCAACACUGGGAUCAGUCACACCAGCACAAACACCAUCACCAGCACUGUUACCAGUCACAGCAGCACAGACAUCAGCACCAACACUGGUACCAGUCACAUCAGCACAGACACCAGCACCAACACUGGUACCAGUCACACCAGCACAAACACCAUCACCAGCACUGUUACCAGUCACAGCAGCACAGACAUCAGCACCAACACUGGUACCAGUCACAGCAGCAAAGACACCAGCACCACCAGCACCACCGAUGCCAGUCACAGCAGCGAAGAAACCAGCACCACCAGCACCACCAGCACCACCGGUGCCAGUCACAGCAGCAUGGACACCAUCACCAACACCGGUACCAGUCACAUCAGCACAGACACCAGCACCAACACUGGUACCAGUCACACCAGCACAAACACCAUCACCAGCACUGUUACCAGUCACAGCAGCACAGACAUCAGCACCAACACUGGUACCAGUCACAGCAGCAAAGACACCAGCACCACCAGCACCACCGAUGCCAGUCACAGCAGCGAAGAAACCAGCACCACCAGCACCACCAGCACCACCGGUGCCAGUCACAGCAGCAUGGACACCAUCACCAACACCGGUACCAGUCACAUCAGUACAGACACCAGAACCACCAGUAGCUCCAUUGGCACUAGUUCCAUUGCUCACAACAAGUCAACACCUGAAUCUGACAUCACAACUGGCCCAAAAAUCACAGACAAGUCAACAACUACAGACAAACAGACAACGAUGCAUCACACAACCACAGGAGCCCUCUCUUCAAACUUCACCCAGCAACACAGCACAGACAAACCAUCGGUUUCUAUGACAACAAGAACAGAAAACACCAACGCGUCGGGCAGCGGCACAAAGGGGCCGGUGACAUCCGAGAGCCCGAGCGGCGGGGGGGUCCCUGGAUGGGGCAUCGCUCUGCUGGUUCUGGCUGCGGUGGCGCUGCUGUUGCUGCUUGUGUUGCUGGCAGCACUGGUGAGUAUCACAAUCAGAAAUGAACUUCCCGAAUGCAAUGAUGCUGCUGAGGAAGGUGUGAAGACAGAGGGAACAGCGGCACGGCCACCAACUCGGGCCUCUGUAGUUGUGGUCUGA